rnacentral:rRNA from 1 species
GGUAUAAGCAUUAUACAGCGAAACUGCGAAUGGCUCAUUAAAUCAGUUAUCGUUUAUUUGAUAGUACCUUACUACUUGGAUAACCGUGGUAAUUCUAGAGCUAAUACAUGCUAAAAACCCCAACUCACGAAGGGGUGUAUUUAUUAGAUUAAAAGCCAAUGCCCUUCGGGGCUCACUGGUGAUUCAUAAUAACUUGUCGAAUCGCAUGGCCUUGUGCCGGCGAUGGUUCAUUCAAAUUUCUGCCCUAUCAACUUUCGACGGCUGGGUCUUGGCCAGCCAUGGUGACAACGGGUAACGGAGGGUUAGGGCUCGACCCCGGAGAACGAGCCUGAGAAACGGCUAUUACAUCCAAGGAAGGCAGCAGGCGCGCAAAUUACCCAAUACCGACUCGGUGAGGUAGUGACGAUAAAUACUGAUACAGGGCUCUUUUGGGUCUUGUAAUUGGAAUGAGUACAAUUUAAAUCCCUUAACGAGGAACAAUUGGAGGGCAAGUCUGGUGCCAGCAGCCGCGGUAAUUCCAGCUCCAAUAGCGUAUAUUAAAGUUGUUGCAGUUAAAAAGCUCGUAGUUGAACCUUGGGCCUGGCUGGCCGGUCCGCCUCACCGCGUGCACUGGUCCGGCCGGGUCUUUCCCUCUGGGGAACCGCAUGCCAUUCACUUGGUGUGUCGGGGAACCAGGACUUUUACUUUGAAAAAAUUAGAGUGUUCAAAGCAGGCCUAUGCUCGAAUACAUUAGCAUGGAAUAAUAGAAUAGGACGUGUGGUUCUAUUUUGUUGGUUUCUAGGACCGCCGUAAUGAUUAAUAGGGACAGUCGGGGGCAUCAGUAUUCAAUUGUCAGAGGUGAAAUUCUUGGAUUUAUUGAAGACUAACUACUGCGAAAGCAUUUGCCAAGGAUGUUUUCAUUAAUCAGGAACGAAAGUUAGGGGAUCGAAGACGAUCAGAUACCGUCGUAGUCUUAACCAUAAACUAUGCCGACUAGGGAUCGGACGAUGUUAUUUUUUGACUCGUUCGGCACCUUACACGAAAGUACAAGUUUCUGGGUUCUGGGGGGAGUAUGGUCGCAAGGCUGAAACUUAAGGA